rnacentral:lncRNA from 1 species
UAUUCAUACGGUCUUAAAUUCAUAAAGAGACCUUCACUCCUAUUCCUCAACCCUCCAGUAUUCUCUGGAAACAACCAGUAUUAACCAGCUUCUUGAGUAUUCAAAAGAUAUUUUAUGUAUAUGUAAGUUUAUUUAGAUAAGCUCAGAGCCUCUGUUCUCUUUAACCCUGGUUGUGCUUGAUAAGAAAAGAGAGGGAGGAUGAAGCCUCCCUCCCAAAGAUAGCAAAUGUCUUGUUUUCUCUCUUGAUUAGGCCAGGUCCUGAGAGAGGAGAGGUAAACUGCAUUCAUCAUGUUCAGUCAGGAGUGUUCUAUCUUUAG